GACGAACGCUGGCGGCGUGCUUAACACAUGCAAGUCGAACGGGCCCGCCCCUGUUUUUGGGGGUGGGUUGAGUGGCGACCGGGUGAGUAUCACGUGAGUAACCUGCCCCCUGCUCCUGGAUAACUGCUUGAAAGGGCGGCUAAUACGGGGUGUGCCGGCUGGUCCGCAUGGGCCGGGGCGGGAUAGUUUCAUCUUCGGGUGUUUCGGCGAGGGAUGGGCUCGCGGCCUAUCAGCUUGCUGGUGGGGUGAUGGCCCACCAAGGCGGUGACGGGUAGGCGGCCUGAGAGGGUGGGCGGCCACACUGGGACUGAGACACGGCCCAGACUCCUGCGGGAGGCAGCAGUGGGGGGUAUUGCACAAUGGGCGGAAGCCUGAUGCGGCGACGUCGCGUGAGGGAUGGAGGCCUUCGAGUUGGGAACCUCUUUCUCCGGUGGUGAAGGCCCUGUCCGUUGCGGCGGGGUUGACGGUAGCCGGGUAUGAAGCGCCGGCUAACUACGUG
rnacentral:rRNA from 1 species